UAGGCUGCAACUCGCCUACAUGAAGUCGGAGUUGCUAGUAAUCGCGGAUCAGAAUGCCGCGGUGAAUGCGUUCCCGGGUCUUGUACACACCGCCCGUCACACCAUGGAAGUUGGGGGCGCCCGAAGUUGCCUAAGAAAUAAGGUACCUAAGGCGAAACCAAUGACUGGGGUGAAGUCGUAACAAGGUAGC
rnacentral:rRNA from 1 species